UGCAAAUAAAUAAACCCUUCGCAAAAUCUUCACUCACGUUUGUAGAGUGUAAACUAAAAGUAAAACUUUCACAAAUUUUAUCUGAAAACUUUCAAAGAGAAUGAAAUUAAUUUCUGAUGUUAAAUACGAUUUUUAAACCUGAAAUCAGUAAAAUCGAGCUGCGCUUCGAAACUGCGUGAAAAAGAAAAAUUUACAAUGUUCAGAAUUUGCAUAAUGCCAGGAUACAAGUGUAGUCAAGGCGAUAACACGUUCUUGCGCAACGCGUCACGUGGGCGAGGGAAUUUUUUGCGUUCACAUUGCUUCUUUUUGUUCAGCUGACGUUUAAUCGCCAAUGUGACCAUUCCCGGUAAAGUUCAGUCGGUUCGCGCUACUUUCACUGCUCGCGGCUAUCUCUCGAUCAAGUCUCCAGGCUCGUCUGUCUUUUAUCCCCACCUGCUCCCUUCGAUCCAAAACAGAUAUCUUAAAAGAAGAGAAAAUAUGUCCAUCACGCUGUCAGAAAUAAAAGGAUAAAUUACGAUCGAUGCCUAACAAAA